AGGAAUUGGAGGGCAGUCUCCGAAAUAAUUGCUCCUCCUAAAAUAAUAAGGCUCUGGCUAGCUGCUUCCUGCUAUUUCCAGCCCUUAGUUUUCAGAAUGGUCAGGUCUUUGUAUUCUAGCCCUUUUCUGCCUUUAGCAGGAGCCUCGGCUGCAUCAGGCCCUGGGCCGUGUCAUGGAAACUGCCCAGGGUGGGGUUAGGAGGUGGGGCGGGGCUGGGACAGGAAGCCUGCAGCUCAGUCGGCAUCUUGCUACCACGUGCAGUAGUGGGGGCCAUAAAAGAGUGGGAGACGUAGAAGAAGGGCAGGACACGAGCCCCAAAGAGCCAGCCAGACACACGGAGACGAGAGAGGUAGAGAAACCAGCUGAGCCAGACACAGAAAGAUGCACCAAGGACAGCUCCUGCUACUUCGCCGGCUCCUCCCAGCCCCGCCUCCACUACUCUGUCACGUGGUGUGGUCGUCCGCAGGGAAUAUAAAUAAAUGUUCCCCGACCCUCUGUAUCCGAGCAGCUGCCCUCAGCCCCUACCCCAGCUCCGACCGAUCCUGAGUUCCGCUGCACCGCUGCUGUGAGUGUAUCAGAACAGGAGGGAGGGAUUGGGGUGGGGAAUGAGGGGACCCCGAUCCACUCCCGGCCCAGUACUACCUUUCUUUAGAUCCAUUCCUACCCAGCCCAGCAAUCCAAGAUCCGACAUGAACCCCUCUCUCUGCUUCAAUACAAUCAAAGCUGGUCAGAUUUAGGGUCCAGUGAUCUGGCAUGGAGUUGAAGGUGGGGAAAGGGAGGGAGAAAGGGAAAUCCAAGCUGGGUCAGGACAGAAGAUCUAGUGCUGGGGCGGGCCCAGAAGUCUGGCUCUAAGGCUCUAAGUUGGACGAGGACGGCUUUCUAGGCAGAGCUAGGGAUAAAAGUCGGGCCUCAAGUGUAGCGAAGGACUGG
rnacentral:lncRNA from 1 species